UCAGCGGGGGAAAAAAAAAAAAAAAAGCAAGACACCCAAGCGGGAAGGAGAAGCAGCAAGGAAAGGCCGCGGCGGAUCUAUUGGGCUGGAGCAGUCCCGGGGAGACGGACCAUUAGGCAAAGGACCCAUGGCUCAGAGCUCAGGGAGAGCAGAUAAGCAGAGAGGUGGGAGAGGAUGAACCGAGAAAGGAAGAGAAGAAAAGAAUAAUAUUUCACACGAUGAUAAACUCAUAAGGAAACAAAAAUUGAGCUCACA